CUAACAAUGAAAAUGUGCUUUCAGGCGUGAAAGAAAUGCUCUCUUCUAAAUUCCAAAUGAAAGAUCUGGGGAAACUUAACCAUUUUCUAGGAAUAGAUUUUCUUCAAGAAAAAGAAUGUGUCAAAAUGUCACAGAAAAUAUAUAUUGAAAACAUUUUAAAAAGAUUUAACAUGCAAAACUGUAAGCCAAGGUUAACACCCUGUGAACAGAAAUGGACUCAUUCUGAUAAAUUCGAGACAUUACCAGAUGUGAGGAGAUAUCGUGAAGCGGUAGGAUGUCUUAUUUAUCUGAGCUAUUGUACGCGACCUGAUUUAAGCUAUGUUGUUAGCAAAUUGUCACAACACUUCAAUGCGCCAACCGUUGAUGAUUGGACAGCAGUGAAACAUGUUCUGAGGUAUCUAAAAGGUAGUCGAGGAAAAGAACUGUGUUUUAGGAAAUGUUCAAGUGGAAAACUAGGUCUACAAGCAUAUAGUGAUGCAGAUUGGGCAUCCGAUGUUUCUGAUAGACGCAGUAUGACAGGUUAUUGUGUAAGCCUAAAUGAAAAUGGUCCUUUGAUAUCAUGGAAAACCAAAAAGCAGACAACUACAGCACUAUCAACUUGUGAAGCCGAAUACAUGGCAUUAGCAGCAACAAUUCAGGAAUGUAUGUAUUUGACUUAUUUGAUUCGAGAUCUUGAUGAAUUUAAGUAUGAAGUACCUAUGAUAUGGGAGGACAAUCAGGGAACAAUCGCUUUGUCAAAAAAUCCAGUGAACAGACAAAGAUGUAAACACAUUGAUGUGAAAUAUCAUUUUAUAAGGUCAGCUGUACAUGAAAGGAAAGUGCUCAUUGAUUACUGUCCAACUGAGUCAAUGGUAGCAGAUAUGAUGACGAAACCAGUUUCAAAGUCUAAGUUAGACAAAUUCUCUGUAUUUGUGUUUGGAAUGUAAGAUGUUUUUUUCCGGAGGACUGUUUUUCCCCAACCUGUCUACAAGUGGGGGUGUUGGAUUGUGUGUCCACAGGUGUUUGUACUUUGCGUCACAAUAAAAAUGACGGUAAAAGGCUCCGCCCACCACCUAUCCAUGUCUCGCCAUGCAACGACUUUGUAGAUGGACUGGAGAUGUGUAGUGGAAGAGUCCUCCGUCAGGAAUGAGAUAUGUGUGUUGACUUUUUAUUCUCCCUCAAAAUUAUUAUGCCAUAACGCUGCCCAGAGCAGCUCUGCUAACAGAAAAACUCAAAAACCGGGAAUCCCCGGCAGCCUACGUCUAUUGCAGCAUAACUGAGGGAGGAUUCAGGGUCACCUGGUCCAGCCCUAACUAUAUGCUUUAGCAAAAAGGAAAGUUUUAAGCCUAAUCUUGAAAGUAGAGAUAGUGUCUGCACUCAAAAAAAUCAACUAGGGCAUGUGUUUGAUUAACACUCAUUAAAUGAUUCAUUCUUUUUAGUUGAAUAUGAAUCAGAGAAAAACUUUGAUGAGUUAAAUUCGUUCAUGACAAUCCAAUGAGAAUGAGGUCCAUCAAACCAACAGCUCUGAUAGUGUCAUGUAUUGCGCAUGCUCCACGCCCACCGGAUGCGGAAAGGUCCGUUGAGACGUUAACGAGCGCACGUGGAGUUACUUCUUUGGCAUACCUGAUAGUGAGGUAAGUAAUUCACAUAUUGCUUGAUAUAUUUAUUUAGGUUAGUGGUGUGAGAGAUAAAUACUAGUAGUUAAAAAUUUUUUACCUGUGUAGUGUGGUGACUUAGAGGAGCUUUAUAUAUAGCAGGGAGUGUGUAGAGCCAAACAUUUUUCAAAUGUAAGUGGGUGAAUUUGAUUUUUUUUUUUUUUAACUUAACCAGAGUCGCUAAUUGUUGCAACAGAGCAAAAACUGAUGAGGCUAUUUUGGUUCAUCACCGUCUACAAGACUGUCAGUGUGGCCAAGUGUCUUCACAGUCCCUCGUUUCAGCUAUGAGGCUGAACUGCAACUUGAAAAGGCCAAUGCGGAGUUCAUUCCUGGUGGAACUCAUUUGACCCCCUCACCAAAACUGAAAUCCCACCUUUUAGAAAGGCUGGCUUAAGAAAUAAUAAAAUUUAAAGUCUAUCCAACUGACAAUGACCUGAAUGAAGUUGCAGAAGUCCUUGUCAAACAGCAUCCUUGUCUGAGGGAGCAGGGAUACUUCAAUGGCUGUUAUGGUUGGAAAAUUAGUCUCAAGUAUAAAAUGGCCAAUGUCCGGACCAAACUGAGAGGCCUGGGCUGUGCUGAGGUGUUGGUAAAUUCACUAAAGAACAAGGCCCAAGACAAAAGUCAGGCAGCAUUGAAUGUGAAAAAGCCUAGAAGAGCAGAAGUCAAUUGCUGUCCGCAGUAUCCAAAAGGAGAAACCACUGACAGCCUGGAAAAAGAGAGAAUUGCACUGCUUUCAGAGGUUCAGAAGAGAAACGAUGACAAUAUAGUGACAAUGAAAAUGCAGAAGACUUUUUCGUACAGAAGGCAAGAAGUUUUUCAAGGACAGCCCUU
ensembl:lncRNA